UACGUGGGGGGCGAGCGUUGUCCGGAUUUAUUGGGCGUAAAGAGCGUGUAGGCGGCCAGGUAGGUCUGCUGUGAAAACUCGAGGCUCAACCUCGAGACGUCGGCGGAAACCAUCUGGCUAGAGUCCGGAAGAGGAGAGUGGAAUUCCUGGUGUAGCGGUGAAAUGCGCAGAUAUCAGGAAGAACACCCGUGGCGAAGGCGGCUCUCUGGGACGGUACUGACGCUGAGACGCGAAAGCGUGGGGAGCGAACAGG
rnacentral:rRNA from 1 species